AUUGAACGCUGGCGGCAGGCCUAACACAUGCAAGUCGAACGGUAACAGGGAUCAGCUUGCUGAUUCGCUGACGAGUGGCGGACGGGUGAGUAAUGUCUGGGAAACUGCCUGAUGGAGGGGGAUAACUACUGGAAACGUUAGCUAAUACCGCAUAACGUCGCAAGACCAAAGAGGGGGACCUUCGGGCCUCUUGCCAUCGGAUGUGCCCAGAUGGGAUUAGCUAGUAGGUGGGGUAACGGCUCACCUAGGCGACGAUCCCUAGCUGGUCUGAGAGGAUGACCAGCCACACUGGAACUGAGACACGGUCCAGACUCCUACGGGAGGCAGCAGGGGGGAAUAUUGCACAAUGGGCGCAAGCCUGAUGCAGCCAUGCCGCGUGUAUGAAGAAGGCCUUCGGGUUGUAAAGUACUUUCAGCGGGGAGGAAGGGAGUAAAGUUAAUACCUUGGCUCAUUGACGUUACCCGCAGAAGAAGCACCGGCUAACUCCGU
rnacentral:rRNA from 1 species